rnacentral:rRNA from 1 species
UACGUAGGGGGCAAGCGUUGUUCGGAAUUACUGGGCGUAAAGCGCGCGUAGGCGGUCUGAAAAGUCAGAUGUGAAAGCCCCGGGCUCAACUUGGGAACUGCAUUUGAUACUGUCAGACUAGAGUACAGAAGAGGUGACUGGAAUUCCCAGUGUAGCGGUGAAAUGCGUAGAUAUUGGGAGGAACACCAGAUGCGAAGGCGGGUCACUGGGCUGAUACUGACGCUGAAGUGCGGAAAGCCCAGGGGAGCGAACGGG